GAUGAACGCUGGCGGCGUGCCUAAUACAUGCAAGUCGAGCGAACAGACGAGGAGCUUGCUCCUCUGACGUUAGCGGCGGACGGGUGAGUAACACGUGGAUAACCUACCUAUAAGACUGGGAUCACUUCGGGAAAGCGGAUCUAACACCGGAUAAUAUAUUGAACCGCAUGGUUCAAUAGUGAAAGACGGUUUUGCUGUACCUUAUAGAUGGUUCCGCGCCGCAUUAGCUAGUUGGUACGGUAACGGCUUACCAAGGCAACGAUGCGUAGCCGACCGGAGAGGGGGAUCGGCCACACUGGAACGGAGACGCGGUCCAGACUCCUACGGGAGGCAGCAGUAGGGAAUCUUCCGCAAUGGGCGAAAGCCUGACGGAGCAACGCCGCGUGAGUGAUGAAGGUCUUCGGAUCGUAAAACUCUGUUAUGAGGGAAGAACAAAUGUGUAAGUAACUAUGCACGUCUUGACGGUACCUAAUCAGAAAGCCACGGCUAACUACGUG
rnacentral:rRNA from 1 species